rnacentral:rRNA from 1 species
GACGAACGCUGGCGGCGUGCUUAACACAUGCAAGUCGAGCGGAAAGGCCCUCUCGGGGGUACUCGAGCGGCGAACGGGUGAGUAACACGUGAGUAACCUGCCCCUGACUUCGGGAUAAGCCUGGGAAACUGGGUCUAAUACCGGAUAUGACACACGGUCGCAUGGCCUGUGUGUGGAAAGUCAGUGUUUAAUAGACACUGCUCGGUUGGGGAUGGGCUCGCGGCCUANCAGCUUGUUGGUGGGGUAGUGGCCUACCAAGGCGACGACGGUAGCCGGCCUGAGAGGGCGACCGGCCACACUGGGACUGAGACACGGCCCAGACUCCUACGGGAGGCAGCA